AAGUUUUAUUCUUGCUAAUGUAUUUAUUUUAACAUAAAUUUAUAUGUAGAAUUUUGGUGUAAAGUAUUUAAAGAAUAUAUUAAGUUGUAGCAGUAAAUAGUUUUAUUGAUAUUAAGGUAAUUUAGAUUUAGUUAAUGUUUUAAGGGUUGGUGAAGACUGUGCCAGCAUCCGCGGUUAUACAGUAAACUCAAAUGAAUAAUAUUGGUUUUAAAGUUCUAAUUAUAAAAAGUUAAUAAAAAGUGAAGAUUAAAGGGUGAAAUAUUUAAUAUUUAUUUUUAAUUAAAGUGAGUAAGAGGGUACGAAAUUGAAAUAAGAAACUAGGAUUAGAUACCCUAUUAUUUUUAAUGUAAAACUGAAGCCGGAGUACUAGUAGGUAUGAUCUUAAAACUUAAAGAAUUUGGCGGUAUUAUAGUCUAUUUAGAGGAAUCUGUUACUUAAUCGAUAGUCCACGUUGAACCUUACUUAUAUUAAUUUUUGUAUAUCGCUGUUUAUUGAGUCUACUGUAAGGUUAUUCUCUAGAGAAAGUAUUAUUUAAUAUUUCAAGUCAAGGUGCAGUAAUAUAUAAGUUGUUAAUGGAUUACAAUAAAAUAGGUUUAUGAACGGAUUGUUAGUGAAAAUUUAAUUGAAGGUGGAUUUAAUUGUAAUUUUUUAUAGAUUAUGAAAAUGAUUUUAAGCUCUAUAAUAUGCACACAUCGCCCGUCACUCUCAUUUAUUAAGAUGAGAUAAGUCGUAACAAAGUAGGUGUAUCGGAAGGUGUAUCUAGAAGGUAAGAAGUAUAGGAAAUU
rnacentral:ncRNA from 1 species